AGCGAGGGUCGGGCAGGAAAAGAAGAGAAGAAUGGUAGGAAAACAAAACACUUUCCUAAAGCAUCCUUGCUCUGUUCAAAGCCCAAACAACGACUUUUGACGGACGGAAUAAAAGCAGGAAUUGUCAUAAACGGAGUUGAAUGGUUUACAACGGCUGACCUGAAGACCUAAGCAGAUGAGCUAACGCGAGCUAAGGUUUCCCAGGGACGGGAGAGGCUCGACCCGGAGACAACGAGCCCCCGAAGAGACUCACACAGCAUGAACUCGACAACUAACCCACUAAUAGAGUAGGAGGACCGCAUAAAGAUCAGCCUUUACUACGAGCCUCCCUGGAGCCUUUUGCCAUGAUGAUGUAUUACUUUAGUAGAUUUGUAAACACGUCCUCCUGGCUGCAGAUCGACAGAGACCUGCCUGGAGGAAGGGCACAACUCGUGGAAAUAACUCUUCAUUUUCAUUUUCUAUAGAUCGUGAAGUCUAUGCCCUUAAACAAUGAUUAUUUCCCUAUAUCUCAGUCGUUCAGCUCAGUCUGUGCGCACACGGCAGGCGAACUUCUUGUGUGGCGUUGAAAAGAUGGCGGCUAUCCUUAAAAAGCUGUUCCCGGAGGUGUACGUGCCCACCGUGUUUGAAGGCUGGGUCGGUGUUUUCGAAGUGGACUCUAAGCAGGUGGAGCUCGCUCUGUGGGACACAGUUGGCCAGGAGGACUAUGAUCGCGUGAGGCCCCUGGCCUACCAAGACACAGACGUCAUUCUCAUGUGCUUCUCCAUCGAUAGCCUGGACAGCUUGGGUUAUGAAUCCAAAAUACACCUUGUGUUGCCUAUCUAUUAUUGAAAAUGUUUUUAGUUAUCCAAAUCUAGAAAUUUGUAAAAUGCGACCACGAAGGGACUCGAACCCUCAAUCUUCUGAUUCGAAGUCAGACGCCUUAUCCAUUAGGCCACGCGGUCAUAUAGAUUACUGCACUGUUUGUUCCUUUAUGAUUUGAGUGGUGAUUGAUUACUUGCUUCGAUUUUGCUUUUGUUUCGAUUGUUCUCGGCAGCACUUAAUACACUGUGGAUAGAAAUGCCGGCUAAAUGGCCAAAUGUAAAUAAUGCUGUAAAUCCUAACUAUUGGCUAACUGUCGUUGCGUACCUUCCGGUCGGCUCUCAGAGAACAUCCCUGAGAAGUGGACCCCAGAGGUGAAACACUUCUGCCCCAACGUUCCCAUCAUCCUGGUCGGCAACAAGAAGGACCUGCACAACGACGACCACACCCGACGGGAGCUGGCCAAGAGGAAGCAGGUUGUCCAGGCGGCCGGCGUACGUCUGCUUGGUGGCGGAGCGGCGGGCCAGCCACAUCCUGAGCCCCCCGUCGGCGCUCCGGCAGAACCCGUUGAUGUGGACGCCGUACCUCCUCACCCCAAACAGGCCUGCUCAGAACCAGGGCCGGGAUCAGAACCAGGGCCGGGAUCAGAACCAGAGCCGGGAUCAGAACCAGGGCCGGGAUCAGAACCAGGGCCGGGAUCAGAACCAGGGCCGGGAUCAGAACCAGGGCCGGGAUCAGAACCAGGGCCGGGAUCAGAACCCAGCUCAGAACCAGGGCUGGGAUCAGAACCAGGGCCGGGAUCAGAACCCAGCUCAGAACCAGGGCUGGGAUCAGAACCAGGGCUGGGAUCAGAACCCAGCUCAGAACCGGGGCUGGGAUCAGAACCAGGGCCGGGAUCAGAACCCAGCUCAGAACCAGCGCUGGGAUCAGAACCAGGGCUGGGAUCAGAACCCAGCUCAGAACCAGGGCCGGGAUCAGAACCCAGCUCAGAACCCCAGCAGGCUCAGACUGGAUAACGCUGGGCUGGGAUCAGGGUAGAUGAUCACCAUCACCUCAUCUACACACUGCCCUGCCCGUUCUAAACUUUCUCAGGAGUCUAAUUGUUCAAAUUUCAACUGGACUUACUGGUUGCUGAUCGCUCCAUAGACAUCAGUGGGGCGUCGCAGUAUCUGGCCAUGACGUCAUACCUCUGACGGGGGUUAGACAUUAAGUUAUGUUGAAUGCCUCCAUAACUGCGUCAAUAUGAUUGCAUGAGGCUGUGGAGGAAGCGUGUCUAGUUAGUCGCUCACCUCAUCCCUCCAUCCCUUCAAACAUGUCAGCGCGUCGCUGCGUCUCAGGCUCUGCAGGACGCGGUCGACUUCCUCUGACCUCUUGGAGUGAGUGUCCAGCCUCGAGCUGAGGGAAAGGGCGCCGUCGCUGGGCGGAUCGAAGACGUCUGGGAAGUUCCUCAAAAUGGCGGCCAUUUGAGGGAGGAUCCAACCGACCUGUUGGUCCGCCACCAUGAAGCGCAGACAUCUGGCGCGGCAGGACCCUGGCAGGACCGGGACUAGUAAUUAGCUGAUUUAUCGCCCAUUAUUUACAAUCAAGACAAUGAAAUAACCACAGUAUACCAGCAUGGUACAAAAUAGUGGAAAUAAAAGCAUAAAAACCUCAA